CUUCCUUCCAGAAUUAACAAUUAAUCAUCCUUGAAGAAAUCUUACGAUUCAGUGCUAAAAUGUUUGGUAUUACAUAAGAUCGUUCAAACGGUGAGGUCACGAUCAUCCUUACAGAAAUCUUACAUGACCCUGCAAAAAGGUGAUAAUACAUGGAUAUGAUUCGAUUUUCUAUUGAUUACUCAGUUAAAACUCUCUUCUUUUUCAUAACCCUAGAUUUCUGAAUCUCUCAACAAUGGCGGAUGGGACGGAGGAAGUAGAAGAGAAGAAAAUCCAUGUGUUUACGGUUUUAAAGAAAAGUUCUAUUGUGUUGCACCAGUAUCACUUCUCUACCCAGAUGCUCUUUCUCGCAUCUAUUAUUGUGGAUGCGGCAUCACUGAAUGGUGGUUAUAAUUCACAGGCCACAAACUAAAAGCGUAUGGUGCUUAUAACUCACAAGCCACAAACUAAAAGCAUAUUCCUGUGGAAACACCUUCAUUCUGUGUUAGCCAAGAAAAAAAUGAAAUGUCUCAGCUACUGUCUAUAAUACUGGUGCUACCGUAAUUAAGUGUACGAUGUAGAGCUUUUGAUCUAGAACCAUGCAUGGUGAGAUGAUCAAGUCUGGAUCGACUCUUUGAACCAGUUUCAUCCAUCACUACUCCACCCAGAUAGUGAUGAUGUUCUGUGAAGAUCCACUAAAUCCUAUCAUUAUUACUCCUCUGGGUAUGGGGAAUGUGAAACCACAACACUUCGCAAGAUAUAGAUGAAUAACACAAUUGCAGCUAUGAUCAUACUGCUGGUGGCAAUCGGAUCUUACACCGUUUUCCAAUCAAUGCAGGCUGGUCAGACCCAAUUAGUAAUUUCAGUACAAUGGUAGUAUUAUGAGUUAUAUAUUCAACUGGAACAUGGUAUGAGUACACCAACCGAUACAGGGGUCAAUCUUAUAAUGGUUGGAAUGUGGUAUGAGUACGCUAACGCGAAGAUGAUAAUCGUGGUUUGGGUGAACUGUUUCAAGGGCGCCUUGAUGAUGGAACCAUUAAUAUAAGUGAUUAAACUCAUUUAUAUUUUUACACGUCUUACAAUAAUGAGUGUUUUGUCUGAUAGUUUGCCCAAAUUUUUUAUUCAUUUUGAUAAUUGUCAAGAAAUGCUGUCCAAUUUAUUCAUGGAGACUCUUGAAUUCAUUAAACUAAAUGUUACUGUACAAGGCCUUGAACUUUGCUUUUGAAGGGUUACUUUUUAGUUUCAAAAAGGACAAAAAGGUUU